AGAGUUUGAUCAUGGCUCAGGACGAACGCUGGCGGCGUGCUUAACACAUGCAAGUCGAGCGGAAAGGCUCCUUCGGGGGUACUCGAGCGGCGAACGGGUGAGUAACACGUGAGUAAUCUGCCCCUGGCUUUGGGAUAGCCACCGGAAACGGUGAUUAAUACCGGAUAUGACCGCUUCUCGCAUGGGUUGUGGUGGAAAGUUUUUCGGCCAGGGAUGUGCUCGCGGCCUAUCAGCUUGAUGGUGAGGUAAUGGCUCACCAUGGCUUCGACGGGUAGCCGGCCUGAGAGGGUGACCGGUCACACUGGGACUGAGACACGGCCCAGACUCCUACGGGAGGCAGCAGUGGGGAAUAUUGGACAAUGGGCGGAAGCCUGAUCCAGCAACGCCGCGUGAGGGAUGACGGCCUUCGGGUUGUAAACCUCUUUCAGCAGGGACGAAGCGUGAGUGACGGUACCUGCAGAAGAAGCACCGGCCAACUACGUGCCAGCAGCCGCGGUAAUACGUAGGGUGCGAGCGUUGUCCGGAAUUAUUGGGCGUAAAGGGCUCGUAGGCGGUUUGUCGCGUCGGGAGUGAAAACCAGGUGCUUAACACCUGGCUUGCUUUCGAUACGGGCAGACUAGAGGUAUUCAGGGGAGAACGGAAUUCCUGGUGUAGCGGUGAAAUGCGCAGAUAUCAGGAGGAACACCGGUGGCGAAGGCGGUUCUCUGGGAAUGACCUGACGCUGAGGAGCGAAGGUGUGGGGAGCGAACAGGAUUAGAUACCCUGGUAGUCCACACCGUAAACGUUGGGCGCUAGGUGUGGGGUCCAUUCCACGGAUUCCGUGCCGCAGCUAACGCAUUAAGCGCCCCGCCUGGGGAGUACGGCCGCAAGGCUAAACUCAAAUGAAUUGACGG
rnacentral:rRNA from 1 species